GACUACAGGGGUAUCUAAUCCUGUUUGCUCCCCACGCUUUCGUGCAUGAGCGUCAGUGUUAACCCAGGGGGCUGCCUUCGCCAUCGAUGUUCUUCCAUAUCUCUACGCAUUUCACUGCUACACAUGGAAUUCCACCCCCCUCUGCCACACUCUAGUUCUGUAGUUUCAAACGCAGUUCCCAGGUUAAGCCCGGGGAUUUCACAUCUGACUUACAUAACCGCCUGCGCACCCUUUACGCCCAGUAAUUCCGAUUAACGCUCGCACCCUACGUAUUACCGCGGCUGCUGGCACGUAGUUAGCCGGUGCUUCUUCUGUCGAUACCGUCAUGAGUUAUGAUUAUUAGUCACAACCUUUUCUUCUCGACUGAAAGAGCUUUACAACCCGAAGGCCUUCUUCACUCACGCGGCAUUGCUGGAUCAGGCUUGCGCCCAUUGUCCAAAAUUCCCCACUGCUGCCCCCCGUAGG
rnacentral:rRNA from 1 species